rnacentral:lncRNA from 1 species
AUCAGAAGAUUCAAUAGCGAUGGAAGCCCCUCUCAACCUGUAACAUCUGUCUGACUCGAUAACAAGUAGAUCUGCAGAGCAGCUGGAUUGAUACAUGCCAGUUGAUUCCCCAACUACAGCAGAAUGCGCUUCUUUCAUGUAUUCUUUCUCACCGUCAACCGGUGAAGUGUUCCUCAACUUGUACUUGGACACAAAAGAAGAAAGUGGGAUAUUCUUCUUCCGGCUUCCAACAGAAUUAGUAGACACCAUGCCAUUGGCCUUCUGAAAUCCAAGCAUUGCAGGGUUUCUUGCUCUCCUCCUGCAUGAGCUCCGUCGUUUCUGGACACCGCGGCUGUAGUAGCCAU